rnacentral:rRNA from 1 species
AUUGAACGCUGGCGGCAUGCCUUACACAUGCAAGCCGAACGGUAACAGGUUAAGCUGACGAGUGGCGAACGGGUGAGUAAUGUAUCGGAACGUGCCCAGUCGUGGGGGAUAACUACUCGAAAGAGUGGCUAAUACCGCAUACGACCUGAGGGUGAAAGCGGGGGACCGUAAGGCCUCGCGCGAUUUGAGCGGCCGAUAUCAGAUUAGCUAGUUGGUGGGGUAAAAGCCCACCAAGGCGACGAUCUGUAGCUGGUCUGAGAGGACGACCAGCCACACUGGGACUGAGACACGGCCCAGACUCCUACGGGAGGCAGCAGUGGGGAAUUUUGGACAAUGGACGCAAGUCUGAUCCAGCCAUGCCGCGUGCGGGAAGAAGGCCUUCGGGUUGUAAACCGCUUUUGUCAGGGAAGAAACGAGUUUCUCUAAUACAGAGACUUAAUGACGGUACCUGAAGAAUAAGCACCGGCUAACUACGUGCCAGCCGCCGCCGUAAAAC